UACGAAGGGGGCUAGCGUUGCUCGGAUUCAUUGGGCGUAAAGGGCGCGUAGGCUGCGGGGCAAGUCGGGUGUGAAAUCUCAGAGCUCAACUCUGAAACUGCACUCGAUACUGCUUUGCUUGAGGACUGGAGAGGAGAUUGGAAUUCACGGUGUAGCAGUGAAAUGCGUAGAUAUCGUGAGGAAGACCAGUGGCGAAGGCGGAUCUCUGGACAGUUCCUGACGCUGAGGCGCGCAGGCCAGGGGAGCAAACGGG
rnacentral:rRNA from 1 species